rnacentral:misc_RNA from 1 species
GAUGAAGAACGUAGCGAAAUGCGAUACUUGGUGUGAUUUGCAGAAUCCCGUGAACCAUCGAGUCUUUGAACGCAAGUUGCGCCCGAAGCCAUUAGGCCGAGGGCACGCCUGCCUGGGCGUCACACGUCGUUGCCCCCCCAUCUACUCCUUCGGGAUUGCGGGGGGCGGAUGAUGGCCUCCCGUGCGCCUCGCCGCGCGGUUGGCAUAAAUGCCAAGUCCUCGGCGACGCACGCCACGACAAUCGGUGGUUGCGAAACCUCGGUUGCCCGUCGUGUGCGGUCGUCGCGCAUCGAGGGCUCGAAAAAAUUGCCGGGUUCCGGCUCGGCUUUCAACGCGACCCCAGGUCAGGCGGGGUUACCCGCUGAAUUUAAGCAUAUCAAUAAGCGGAGGA